UACGUAGGGGGCAAGCGUUGUCCGGAUUUAUUGGGCGUAAAGAGCGUGUAGGCGGCUUUACAGGUCCGUUGUGAAAACUCGAGGCUCAACCUCGAGACGUCGGCGGAAACCAUCUGGCUAGAGUCCGGAAGAGGAGAGUGGAAUUCCUGGUGUAGCGGUGAAAUGCGCAGAUAUCAGGAAGAACACCAAUGGCGAAGGCAGCUCUCUGGGACGGUACUGACGCUGAGACGCGAAAGCGUGGGGAGCGAACAGG
rnacentral:rRNA from 1 species